rnacentral:lncRNA from 1 species
UUUAGCUUACACAAAAUGUACAAGUCAGAUGUGGAAGAUUGUCUCAUAUUCAAGGAUUUCAGGCUAAGUUAUGGAAAAUCAGCAUGAGACAGAGAGAAGGGACAGAGAGAGUAUGUGAGAGAGAGAGGGGGGAGAAGGAACAGACCCACUGAGCCACUUGAAAACUCCACGGUCUGUAAACCUGCUCUGGCCAUGACAGAAUUCUUUAUUGUGAAGACAGGUCUACUGGCCUGCAGGUCCCUUGCAACCACGUGGCUGAAUGGUAACCUGAACUGAGUCAGCCAACUGCAGCCCCUUCUCCAAAGGCCCUGAGGGGAGGCGAGAGGCAGGAGCCUCUACCCCAAGAGUGCCCAUGGUCAAAAAGGAGAGAAACCCUUCCUGCUCUUAGGAAAUCCCAACUUAUGAGGCAUAGGUAGGUCCUAGUGCUGGCAAGCUUUUGGCUUACCAGAAAAGAAUAGUCACAGAGCACCAUGUGCUAGAAAGUUCCAAGGGAAAGGAGUCUAAAAAUAUUGAGCAGACACAGUGAAGGAGUGAACAAAAUAGGUCAGGUUUAUUUGGAAGGAAAAAGGUUGCUAAAAGAGAAAACCCUUUCCAAUCCAAUAGUCAUAAACAAAGGAAGCCCAGGUACAGAUCUUGCCCAGCCAUUCCAAUUUCAAUUCUGUGGCUGUUAGAAUUCUACUUCAGUGAAGCUAUGCGGACACAUAUCUAGAAAGUAUGUGUCAGGAAAUGAAAAUCUGACACAUCCUGUCAAUUCUCCAAGUGUACCUUGAUUGAGGAAUAGAAAAUAUUUGGCCUAGUCUACAUUCGUAGAAAAUAACACCCAAUACACAAAUAUCUACUGUAACUAUGUAUCAUUGUACGAAAACAAGCCAUGAAUAAUCACAUACAUAAGUCUAUAGACUGUAAACACGUGGUGAUACAUCCUUAUGCAGCAUAUCCAUGCACUCCCAACUGCCCGAUCUCACUGUGUCCUCAGGAGUCACAAGAGCAUCGUUAUCCCUAUCAUUCAGAGACCUAAUUCAACCCUGGUUCUCCGGAUGGUUCAGCAUGCAGAUCUACAGCCUUAAGGCUUAGACCUUUGCCUGUCUUGACAAGGGCUUUUCUGAGCUGCCAAACAAUUCCCUGCUAUAUGCCAAGGUAUUAUUAAUUAAUGUUGAUCCCGCUUAUGGCAGCUCUGCUGUGAAAUGCCAGCCCUGUUAAUAGCUCAACGUUGGGCUCAUGUCGACUUGGAGUUAUAACUCAGGCCUAACCUUUAUUUUAUCUCCUUUUACGAUAAUAGAACACUGGAAGAUUCUCAAAUGCUAUAAACAAUACUCUUCUGAAACUCAUCCACCUCGUGGUAGCAGAAGCACACCAUGAGCACCAGCCAAUCUUCCUGAAAUUAUGUUACCAGAAAACGUACGUGGUGGAGAAUUUCCUUGGACUGGAUGUUUCUUGCUCACUUGAAUUUUAAGAGAAACUUUCCCAAGGGGUCCAGACAAGUGCUGUUUUGCUCUAAGUCUCUGUAUGCAGCAACAUUGGUUGUUUUCAUCAUACCUAUACCUGAGAUGGGAUCUCACUAUGUUGCCCAGGCUGGUCUUGAACUUCUGGAUUCAAGUGAUUUGAUUUUCCUGCCUUGGACUCCCAAAGUGCUGGGAUUACAGCAACUCCCAAAACACACAUGGCCCCAGAGAAUAAGAGGACCACAGCUGAGUUGCUUUUCAGACAUCAGACAGCUGUCCUUGUGGAUGAAAGAAACUCCUUUCCAACUUUGAAGAAAAUGUCCAGGGAUCGGGGAGCAGGCAUGUGAUAUUCUUCAAGGUGCCACCAGCCUUUCUCAAUAAAACAUCUCCAGUGGGAAAACAUGGAACCCAGAAAGGGCUGGUGUGGGAAAAAUAUGACAAGGAUGGCCGGCAAAGUAAACCCAUGGUGAAUUCAACCCUGAGAAAGCAGAUUUCCUGGAGUGUGCAAGCUUUGCUUAGGCUUAGUUUUAAUAAAUAAUAAAGAGACACAAUUAAACAAACUAAAGGUGAUCUUGCCCCGGAUGGCUCCUUAGGAUCUUUAGAACAUGGCAAUUCAAUUUAAACGCGGAGCCCCUACUCUGCUGGACUGACAGGAAAUUGAACUGUCCAGGUCAUGACUCCCGUGUAUGAAGUGCAGCUGUCCAGGUCACCCCUGGAACAUCUUUCACAACCUUGCUGAGGGCCCUGCUAGGAACCAGGCAUCUUAAGAAGCACUAGGUCAUCUGGAGGCCCUUCCCAUCAUUAGUUCACAUGAGCACGUCCCAGUCUGCAUGGUCUCCUUGGGGUUACCCCUCUGCUAUUAAAUAUUUUCUAGAAAAAAAAAAAAAAGACUCUUUGGCAAAGACCCAGCCUCCCUGAGGCACAUACAGCGAGGGGGUACCACCAAGAAGCAGGUGACAUCCUUGAGGCUUCUGGAUUCACAGACCUUUUUAGUUUAGGAAAAUACAGCCCUCCUCAAACCCUAUUCUUCUCUGCAGGUUUAUUUGAAAUGAAAGCCUGGAAGUCCAGCCACAAGUCUCUCCUGAGGCUGAGACACAGAGCCAGCCAGAAUGAAAAAUGGAAAGGGGAAAAUACAGAGAGAGAAAUUAAAUCAGUAUCUCAAAGGUUUUCCUCUUUUUUCUAAAAUGAAAUUCCUUUCAUUUUAGUGUUUAUUUUAGAGUUGAGGCAACUGAGACAUGGGCAUAAUGACCAAAGGCACACAACUAGUUACAAACAGUGACACAACCAGUUACUGACACCUACUAGUUACUGACAGAUACUAACAGCCAACAAUAGCUGGCUCUUUCUAUUAUACCAUGGUGCCUCUUCAUUUUUUCUGAUUUCCAACCUCUUUUCUAUUCUAAACUGCCCUUGUUGAUAGGCACUUAAGUCUCUGCACCUACAGUCUUAGACAUAUUUGGAAACUUCUCUUAAGCAUGUUGAUCCAUCCAGGGCUGAAUUAUCUGUGAUCAAAAGAAUUACUCCACCCUGGGGCAUAUCCAACAAGAUGAAAGAUUCAGAAAUAAAUUACAUUGUGCUCCAUUCUUCCUGGCUCUCAACAUCUUCCCGCAUAAGAAAUCAGUUUCCUGAGAGUCUCCAGGCUCCAAAAGGCCAUCCUAAGGGAUGAAGGCAAAGUCUCAUGGGUCCAGCCACCCACCACAGACAUCUCUAGGAUGACUUUGGGGACCUGAUUGUUCCUGUGGCAAUGAUGCAUGUGGCCUGGGAGUUUUGGGAAAGGUAGGUUCAUGAGCUAUUUAUGUGUAGUUAAGUGUUUGGUCUUUCUGAGCAUCAGCUGGCAAGGCCAUGUCCUCAUCCCACUGCCUCUGAGAGUCACUGCUUAGCUGUGUCUAAGCAAUGAGGGGAAGAGGGGGUGAUAUUGUAUCUAACUUUGAGAGUAAUCAUUACUGUGUCAGUGUGCAAAUGACAAGUUCCAGUGGGUAGUGUAGAAGGUUUUCUAGUUAUUUUGUCUAUUAUAGGCAUGGUCCAAUACUUCCUCUUCCUCUUUCUUUUAAUAAAGGACUGCAAGAGAAAAGGA